rnacentral:rRNA from 1 species
UAAACCGGAGGAAGGUGGGGACGACGUCAAGUCAUCAUGGCCCUUACGAGUAGGGCUACACACGUGCUACAAUGGCGCAUACAGAGGGCGGCCAACUUGCGAAAGUGAGCGAAUCCCAAAAAGUGCGGCGUAGUCCGGAUUGGAGUCUGCAACUCGACUCCAUGAAGUCGGAAUCGCUAGUAAUCGUGGAUCAGAAUGCCACGGUGAAUACGUUCCC